UACAUGGUGGCGCAGAUGGCGGGAAAUUCGGGAGCCAGUCAGUGUGGGCCGCAGAAGGAGUUAUGGGAUGCGUGUGGAGGAGGCAACCCGAGAGCGUCCAACUCCUGGACCUGCAGCUCAGCAGUGUUGACAACUCCUCACAAACCAUGGAUCAUCCUCUGCCAAGGCAGUCUCAGCAUCCCCCCGGGAGCAAGCAAUGGCAUCAUACCCGCAGCGUGCGCAACAUCUGUAAAAGAUUUCCUCAAACGGGAUAAUACAAGCAGCACAGCACAUUAACAUAAGAAAGACAACAAUUAGGGUCAGAAAUCCAGUAACCACCAUUGCAGUGUACUUACCAAACCACUCACCCAACCAAGAGAACAGUCCACUCUCCUCCACUCCAGCCAAGCCUUUCAUUUCCACUGAUAGUUUAUCUAGACCACUUAAAGCUUUCGAAAUGCUCCCAUCAGGGCUAGUAUUGUUAGGGAUAAAUGUACAACAUUGUUCUCCAAACAUUUUGCAAACCCCACCUUGACUGGCUAGGAUCAUAUCUAGGGCUAGUCUAUUUUGCCUGGCAGUUCUAGAGGUAGCCUCCAAUUGUUCAUGGAUGGGUCGCGUGCAUGGAUGGGUCACGUGCUCUGUGGAUCCUAGAAGUUGGUUAGCUGUAACUUCAAUAAUGGUUAAUGGUAUUAUCAGACUGGCUAAGGCGCACGUACCCUGCCAGUCACCUCUAAGAAUAGGUGUUAAGCGCCUGUUUGGUCCACAUAUCCACCAUACGUCAGCAACGCCUCUAGUUUGAUUCAGCCCUUCUACCGGCCAGGUAGCAUUAAUGGUUACAUUACUGAUGCAAUCAGCUUCAGGCAACCGCCCAUAGUCUAUACCCCUACCUGUACCCAUGAUGCAGCUGUAGUUUCCCCCAUAUGCCUUAACACCCCACGGGGCCUUCCGGGGAGGAACUUCUGGGAACACAAGACUCAAAGAUUUACACAGAGUUGAAUUUGGUUUAACAUGGUAAAAUCCCUCCAAUAUACACAUCCACCCCUCACCGUCACCUAAAGCAAAUGGGUGUGUUGCCAGAACAGGCCUAGCAUGACCACAGAUAACACAGUCCUUUCUGUUAAGUGUUUUAGCUGUAUAUCGCAUGUAUGCCAGCCACAUAUUUUCACUUGAGUGACAGGGGGCGUGGCUAGGUUUGUGUGGAAAGUGGCACGGAGAGAAAGAGCGGAGGGAGAUGACUCAAGUAAACUUUCAAAAUUGACAUUACACAUGGCGUAUCACAUUUAACAAACCAAACAUUCAAAUACCGGUAUAGAAGGUAAAGUGAAAACCCAAACCAGUCCCUGCAUCAAUACCGGUAUAUCAUAAAAUACGGAAUACCGCCCAGCCAUACUAUCAUCUGCAUAUAAAUGGAUGAGAUAGCUUCCCUACUGCCUGAGCUAUGUUGUUGAUGUAAAUUGAGGAG